GCCCAGAUGGUGAAAUUGGUAGACACGCCAGAUUUAGGUUCUGGUGCCGCGAGGUGUGUAGGUUCGAGUCCUAUUCUGGGCA
rnacentral:tRNA from 5 species